rnacentral:misc_RNA from 1 species
GAUGAAGAACGCAGCGAAAUGCGAUAAGUAAUGUGAAUUGCAGAAUUCAGUGAAUCAUCGAAUCUUUGAACGCACAUUGCGCCCGCCAGUAUUCAGGCGGGCAUGCCUGUUCGAGCGUCAUUACAACCCUCAGGCCCCCGGGCCUGGCGUUGGGGAUCGGCGGAGCCCCCCGUGGGCACACGCCGUCCCCCAAAUGCAGUGGCGGUCCCGCCGCAGCUUCCAUCGCGUAGUAGCUAACACCUCGCGACUGGAGAGCGGCGCGGCCACGCCGUAAAACACCCAACUCUUCUGAAGUUGACCUCGAAUCAGGUAGGAAUACCCGCUGAACUUAAGCAUAUCAAUAAGCGGAGGA